rnacentral:rRNA from 1 species
UACGGGGGGGCAAGCGUUGUUCGGAAUUACUGGCGUAAAGGCUCGUAGGUGGCCAACUAAGUCGGACGUGAAUCCCUCAGCUUAACUGGGAACUGCGUCCGAUACUGGAUGGCUCGAGUUUGGGAGAGGGAUGCGGAAUUCCAGGUGUAGCGGUGAAAUGCGUAGAUAUCUGGAGGAACACCGGUGGCGAAGGCGGCAUCCUGGACCAACACUGACACUGAGGAGCGAAAGCCAGGGAGCAAACGGG